CCUACGGGAGGCAGCAGUGGGGAAUAUUGCACAAUGGGGGAAACCCUGAUGCAGCGACGCCGCGUGAGUGAAGAAGUACUUCGGUAUGUAAAGCUCUAUCAGCAGGGAAGAAAAUGACGGUACCUGUCUAAGAAGCCCCUGCUAACUACGUCCCAGCAGCCGCGGUAAUACGUCGGCGGCAAGCGUUAUCCGGAUUUACUGGGUGGAAACGGAGCGUCGUCGGCGGAAAAAGUGCGGAGGGAAAACCCGGGGCUGAACCCUGGGAGUGCUUUGGAAACGGGUUGGCUGGAGUGCAUGAGAGGUAAGCGGAAUGCCUAGGGUAGCGGUGAAAUGCGUAGAUAUUAGGAGGAACACCAGUGGCGAAGGCGGCUUACUGGACUGUAACUGACGUUGAGGCUCGAAAGCGUGGGGAGCAAACAGGAUUAGAUACCCUUGUAGUC
rnacentral:rRNA from 1 species